AUGGCCGCGCCCACCGUGGCCAAGUCGCCGCCGGCGCUCGUCCCUCCGGCGGGGCCCACCCCGGGCGGCGUGCUCCCGCUCUCCUCCAUCGACAAGACCGCCGCCGUCCGUGUCUCGGUCGACUUCAUCCAGGUCUUCCCCCCGUCCUCCGACAGGGGCGGCGACGACCAGGUGGCCACGAUGCGCCAAGGGUUCGCGAGGGCGCUGGUGCCCUACUAUCCGGUGGCCGGUCGCAUCGCGGAGCCCUCCCCGGGCGACCUCGUGGUCGACUGUACCGGUGAGGGCGUCUGGUUCGUGGAGGCCACGGCGAGCUGCUCGCUCGCCGACGUCAACGGCCUCGAGCGCCCGCUGCUCAUCCCCAAGGCGGAGCUUAUCCCCCGCCCUCCCCCCGAGGAGAAGCUCGAGGACCUCAUCCUCAUGGCGCAGGUCACGAAAUUCACCUGCGGUGGAUUCGCCGUUGGGAUCUGCUUCAGCCACCUGGUGUUCGACGGGCAGGGCGCCGCGCAGUUCCUUCAAGCGGCGGGCGAGCUGGCCCGGGGGUUCCCGGCCCCAUCAGUGGCUCCCGUGUGGGACCGCGAAACGAUCCCGGACCCGCCCAAGCUGCCGCGCGGUCCGCCGCCGUCCUUCACGGCGUUCAGCUUCGUGACCCAGGUGGUCGAGAUAUCGCCGGAGAGCAUCCUGCGAAUCAAGGACGAGUUCAAGGCCGCCACGGGGGAGACCUGCUCCACCUUCGACGCCGUGACGGCCGUGGUCUUCAAGUGCCGUGCGCUGGCGGUGGAGCUCCCCGACGCCGCUGAAGUCCGCCUUGGCUUCGCCGCCAGCACGCGUCACCUCCUGCAGGGCGUGCUGCCGUCAGUGGAUGGCUACUAUGGCAACUGCGUGUACCCGGUCGGGAUCACCCGGAGCAGCAAGACCAUCCGGGAGGCGGCGCUGCCCGAAGUGGUCGGCGUGAUGCGAGAGGCCAAGGAGGCGCUUAAGGUGAGGUUCACGGACUGGAUGCACGGCGGCGCCAAGGACGACCACUACAAUGUGCCGCUGGAUUACGGCACCGUCACGGUGUCGGACUGGAGCCGCGUCGGCUUCAACGAGGUGGACUAUGGCUUCGGCGAGCCCGGAUACGUGUUCACGCUCAACGACGACGUCAACAUCGUCGCGUCGGUGAUCUACCUCAAGCCCCCGGCGCCCAAGCGCGGGAUCCGGCUCAUGCUCCGCUGCGUGGAGGAGCCACACGCCGCUGUGUUCGCCGACGAGCUUGCCAAGUAUAAACCACAUUUAGGUCAUAUUCUGUUGAUUUCUUUUCAUUGUGGAACAAUUGUAAGCUGUCAGCCACGAGAAUGA
rnacentral:rRNA from 1 species